rfam:Salmo salar isolate Sally breed double haploid chromosome ssa19, whole genome shotgun sequence.
UGUGUUCACUACUGUAAGUCGCUCUGGAUAAGAGCGUCUGCUAAACGACUGAAA